GUCGAUGUCAGCUGAUUUGUCUCUUUCCAUUGUUGGUCUUAAGUUUGACGCCCCUGGAGCUUUAACCCGAUGGAUCCGGUAUCCGGAUCUGCUUCCACACCAACAAGCUCACUCAUGUUAUUGUGAGCCUACAAGCAAUAGAUGUAGCCUAGCAACAACUCACAUCAGCUUGCCACUUUAAAGCCACAUCACUUGCCAUCACUGCCACACCAUCAAAAUUUUAAGAGUUU
rnacentral:misc_RNA from 1 species